rnacentral:rRNA from 1 species
UACGUAGGGUGCGAGCGUUGUUCGGAAUUACUGGGCGUAAAGCGUGCGCAGGCGGUUUGCUAAGACAGGUGUGAAAUCCCCGGGCUUAACCUGGGAACUGCGCUUGUAACUAGCAGGCUAGAGUGUGGCAGAGGGGGGUGGAAUUCCACGUGUAGCAGUGAAAUGCGUAGAGAUGUGGAGGAACACCGAUGGCGAAGGCAGCCCCCUGGGCUAACACUGACGCUCAUGCACGAAAGCGUGGGGAGCAAACAGG